CCAUGGAGGCCUGGCUCCCUCGGCGCCCGGUCUGGUCCCCGGCACCGCGUGGACGGAGACCAGGACUCCGUUCUGUGUUCCGCAGCCGUUGAGCGGGCGUUUGCGUUGGAGCGCCUCCCCCAGGCAGCGAGUGUCGGGCCGGGCUGCCCUGCUAGCCCCCUGCUACGCCCCGAGGAUGGCACCAUCAGAGCCCUCCCACGGUGGAUCUUAGGGACGAGGGGGUGCUGCCAUUUGUAUCCUCAUUUUCCCAGUGAGAAUAGAGAGGUUCGGUAGGCGAGGAAGCAGCCAGCCAGACCCCGGCCGCUCACCCGCACACCUGCCUGGCAGGGAGAGGGAAAAGUAGCAGCCUGCCCCCGCUCACCCCAGCUUCUUCCAGAGGGCAGGACGGGUGGCCGGUGUGCCCACACGCUUGCAUCCGCCGGUGGUCGAGCUCCCAGCGGCUGCUGCCGCCAGUGCAGCAGCGGCUGAGGCCUGGGGGUGGGAGGAUUCCCUGGUCACCUGUGGGACUCAGAAGCCUGGGAAGAAGGAAGGAGCGCGGUUCAGCUCUUUGUUUGCUGUGACGUUGGCAGGGAGCAGCCACGCUGUCAGGGCCCCAGCGGGUGCGGGGAGAGUUUCAGUCCCUCUGACGUGGCCACUCUGCUAAGCUAACAUUUGCCUUGCAGAAUUGGAGAUCCUAACCUAUGUCAACACAGAGAAUAGGUGCUGGGACUCCCUGGAUCCACCCCACUGCCCCUGACCCACUUCCUGCAGUCACUUUGUCCCAACAAACCACUCCACAGAGACAUGGCACUGUCACCGCCCCCCCCCCACCAUGGGCACGCAGAGGCAAAGGUGCUGGGGUCCGUCCCCCCCCCCCCCUCCCGCUAAGCCUCUUGAGUGGAGGCCUUCCGGUUCUUGCCCAUGUGGGGCCCGGUGUGGAGGAGAGGGCUCUGGGCCCACCAUCGGUCGUGGAGGCUGGGGCUCUGAGUCACGGGCCCUCGGCCUCAAGGCCCAGCCUGCUACCUGAUGCCGUGUGCCUUCUGUCCGCUUCCUUGACCUCCCUGACCAUCACGUCCUCGGCAACCUGGAGUCCAGGCGGGGGAGCACCUGACAACUUGGGGGCCAAAAGGAGAUGCCGUUGAUGCUUACACCAGAGCAACAGGCACGAACCGCACUGUCCUGGGUGUAGGGCUCCCGGAGGCUGGAUACACAUGCCGCCACCCCCCUGAAGCCCCCCCAUGGGGGCUGGCGUCAGCUGCUCUUUCCGGAGGGCAAGGUUGUUAGUUCCUCAUCAUGACCGGAGCUGUAGUCACGCGACCCCGAGCACACAGGACACAGGGCUGCAGGCUUGCCAGGACGAUGGGCAGAGCCUAUGCCAGAGAACCCGGCUGUCCUUUCCAUCAUUGCAGCACCCUGUCACACUGCGUUUUCAGGAUCACGAGAGUCAGCCCCUCCCAGGAGCCUGCGUUGUCCGGGGAGGACUGGCACUGAGCGCCCGGAGGGGGCUGAGCUGAGCUGAGCUGGGACCUAAGUGCCUAUGAGAGGCCAGAUGCCAACAAGGUGCAACUCUGAAUCAUCCUUGAGACCCUGGAAAAGUGCUCCCCGUCCCCGCUCUCAAACAGGCAGUCGUGAAGGAGAACCGUCCUUGAGGAAGCGUCAGGAGGGCAGGUAGGGCAGCCCCUGUGGCGGGUUCAUGUGUUUGGGAUGCUGAAAAGCGCAAGCCUCGGAUCCCUGGGAGUGACACCCUGAGGAGGCACAGGGACCCAGGGCAGACGCCCCCGCCAGCUGAUGGCUACUGCUGGUGUUCGUGGCCCCCAGGACACACAUUCGGGCCCUGAGAGGUAUGACCUGGGACCCUGUAUUGCCUGCUAGGGCUGCCGUAGCAGAGCCCCGCAGACUGAGUGGCUUCGCAGAAAUGAACUCCCCCAUAGUUCUAGAGGCUGGAUGUCUGAGAUCCAGGUGCGGGCCGGGCUGGUCCUCUUGAGGUUCUCCCUCCUGGGCUCGCAGCCGGCCUUCUCCUCCUGUGUCCUCACCUGCUGGUCCCCAUGUGCGUGUCUGUGUCCUGAUCUCAUAAGGUCACCCUCAGAUCGGAUUGGAGUGCACUCUAACAAGCUCGUUUUACCUUAAUUACCUCUGUGAGGACCAUGUCUCUAAAUACAGCCACAUCCCGAGGUCCCGGGAGCUGCGGUUUCAACAUAUAAAUUGUGGGGGGUGGAGACACGCUACUGAGCCAUAACAGAUCUAAGUCAGGGCCUGUGCCCUCCCUGGGGGGGGGGGCCUUCUGAAGGUAGGGACUGGCGGAUCAGGCCGGCUCAGGUUGUACGGCCAGGAAUGAGGACCACGGGGUGGCGGGAGGGCCCGUUGGCGGUGGGGGCUCUGGAGCCAGGAGGGCGGGAGCGGGUUGAGCCCCAGGGAGAAAAUGGGUGGGAAUCUC